rnacentral:misc_RNA from 1 species
GAUGAAGAACGCAGCGAAAUGCGAUAAGUAAUGCGAAUUGCAGAAUUCAGUGAGUCAUCGAAUCUUUGAACGCACAUUGCGCCCUGUGGUAUUCCGCAGGGCAUGCCUGUUCGAGCGUCAUUUCAACCCUCAAGCUCUGCUUGGUGUUGGGCCCUGCCCGCUGCGGCCGGCCCUAAAGACAGUGGCGGUGCCGCCUGGCCCUGAGCGUAGUACAUCUCUCGCUCCAGUGCCCGGUGGUAGCCUGCCAGAACCCCAACUCUCGUGGUUGACCUCGGAUCAGGUAGGGAUACCCGCUGAACUUAAGCAUAUCAAUAAGCGGAGGA